AUUGAACGCUGGCGGCAUGCCUUACACAUGCAAGUCGAACGGUAACGGGCCUUCGGGUGCCGACGAGUGGCGAACGGGGGAGUAAUACAUCGGAACGUGCCCGAUCGUGGGGGAUAACGAGGCGAAAGCUUUGCUAAUACCGCAUACGAUCUACGGAUGAAAGCAGGGGACCGCAAGGCCUUGCGCGGACGGAGCGGCCGAUGGCAGAUUAGGUAGUUGGGGGGAUAAAAGCUUACCAAGCCGACGAUCUGUAGCUGGUCUGAGAGGAUGAUCAGCCACACUGGGACUGAGACACGGCCCAGACUCCUACGGGAGGCAGCAGUGGGGAAUUUUGGACAAUGGGCGCAAGCCUGAUCCAGCCAUGCCGCGUGCAGGAUGAAGGCCUUCGGGUUGUAAACUGCUUUUGUACGGAACGAAAAGCCUUCUUUUAAUACAGGAGGGUCAUGACGGUACCGUAAGAAUAAGCACCGGCUAACUACGUG
rnacentral:rRNA from 1 species